CUCAAUGUCUGAAUGGGACUUGAGAGGGGAGGUGGCUGGCUCUUUCCUUCCGUCUUUCCCACAGGGAAAGGGAACCUCGGUCCAGCUCCCUCGGCCGGGUGUUACCGACAUUUUCCCCGUCAGGUGGAUCUGGCGCGGCAACUCGCGGGGCUUUAAAAAAGCAGCAGGCGGCCGGCCGCUGGUCGCUACAACCCGGAGUAAGGCCGGCGAGAACUACGCGACCCAGCGUGCAGCGGGCGCGGCUCCCGGCAUGCUCGGCGGCCGUGUUCCCGCCGAUCGGCCGCGGCUCGCUCGGCCGCCGCCUCAGCGCUGCCCGCGGGCCCCGGCCCUCCUCCCGCGGCGGCUCUCGGCCUCCCGGAGCGCGGGGAGGGCUGGGGCGGGGGUGCUGGUCGCCGAGGCCCACGUCCUUAUCUUUGUGAUCGACUUUCAGGGCUUAAUUCUUGAAACGCCCGGCAGAGGGGCUGAUGUUCAUGCCCCACUAACUCUCAGUACGUACUCCCAUUUGUUUUUGGGAAGAAAAGGCUGUAAAUAGAACGAAUUCGCGCAGAAUUUCAGUGGCAAGCCCAGGAAAACGAGUCCUCUUCUGAAUAGUACCUGUGAGUUGAAAAGGCAACAAAUGUCAUCUUCAGGAAGAAGACUUUAAAGAAAGUGAUAGUAGAAAUGUUUUCUUCUGGUAUCUGGCAAAAAUGGGACCUAUGAAGUAUAUCUACCCAAGAAGGAGUCCUUCCCUGAAGACUCUUAUUUAGCUGUGGUCUUCUCUACAGGAUUGAAAUUUAACAGAAGUAUCUAAUGAAGAGGAAUCUGAAUGUAGCAGAUGAGAAAGCGAAAAGAUGGGGAGAAGAGUCCAGACGUCAUAAAGCAAAGAGAGGAUGAUGUCCAGGAAGCAUUAUUUGUUCUGUUGCAUGACUCAAAGAACUCCAAGAAAUUUGACUCCACCCCACUGGACAUAGCUUUCAAUUUAGGAUAGAAAUGAAUUCUUUUCUGGGGGCGUUUAGGUGGCUCAGACUUUAAGUGUCUGUCUUCUGCUCAGGUCAUGAUCCCAGGGUCCUGGGAUUGAGCCCCACAUUGGGCUCCCUGCUCAGCGGGGAGUCUGCUUCUCCCUUUCACACUUCCCCUGCGUGUGUUCCCUCUCUUGCUGUCAAAUAAAUAAUAAAUAAAAAAUUUAAAAAUUUUUUUAAAAAAAGACAUCAAUUUUUGUCUAAUAAAAUAGAUAUUAGUAGAUACAUAAGACAUAAGAAAACAAUUGAGCAUAGUGACCUGAGUGGUUACAAUACCUUAUGAAAGAGACCAUCUUCAGAAAGUUAUUCUUCAGUAUAUGGCUUGUUGCUUUCUAGAAAAGAACUGGAGUGACAGCACUGCUGUAACGAGUGACAGCUGACAGGAAGAGGGAAGGGAAAGCAAGAAAGGAGUGAUUAACAGGGAAAUGCAGUCAUAUGGAAAGAAUGAGAUAGAUUCAGGAAACUUCUAGGUGGUAAUAUCACCUGAUUUUAGUGACUGUAUUUAGGGGAUGGGAGAGAAGUCAUCUAGAAUUUUGGGUUAGGCCAUUAGUGGGUCAUGGCAAUGCUGUAUGAAAUAGAAACUCCAGGAGGCAAAGCAGGUUUGUGGGGGAGACACUUAAAUCAUGCAAGGAGAUAACUGUACAUCUUUGGGCUCUAUUGGUCUUUGACCUCCUCUGUCAAACCACAGAAACUAUCGCUUCCUAUAAGUAGCUUGCUUGUUUGUAAAAAACAGCCAACUACAGAAAUUGGAGGCUGGGAAUGUGUUGGGAAGAGUAGAAAGAGUGGGGAAAUGAUUUAGAUAUACAGUGGUCUUAAAAAUGUCUUUCCACACGCCAGGACUUAGCUUCCUAUUAUUUCUAUCAGUAAGCCAGGAAUUGAAAUAGAAGAUACCAAGGACAAAUACAGACCCUUAUGAGGAAAAAGUUAAUGUGGCGGGUAUUUGAUUAUUCCUUGCUUGCCUCCAAGGGAACUAUGAUUGACCCUUGCGCAACCCUGGGAAUUUGGCCCUUGGAGUGUUUAGUUUUGUUUUGUUUUAAUAUUUUAUUUACUUAUUUGACAGACAGAGAUCACAAGUAGGCAGAGAGUCAGGCAGAGAGAGAGAGGAGGAAGCAGGCUACCUACUGAGCAGAGAGACCGACAUGGGACUCAAUCCCAGGACCCUGAGAUCAUGACCUGAGCUGAAGGCAGAGGCUUUAACCCACUGAGCCACCCAGGUGCCCCCCUUGGAGUGUUUUUAUGGUAAUGACAAUGACUUUGUUACAUACACCUGGAGCAAUUGCUUUGGUUUUGUUGUUGGGAUCCUGAGUAUCAGUUGCCAUGGCUGAUUGCACAGCAGAAUGUAUUAAGAGACUUCAUAGAAGCCUUAGACCCAGUUGGGUUUCCAUGGGCAGAGGCAUUCCACAGAUUCCUAUAGUUUGCUGCUAGAGAGAGAAAGAAGUCUGUGCUGAACCUCUCUGGACUUCACCAAUGGAUCUUUUCCCCAUUACUUUUGCUCUCUACCAUUUGCUGUAAUAAAUUUUAGUUAUGUGUAUAA